GUGUGGGACAUAUUCAUUAGUGGGUCACCACUACCUAUACUGGGCUUCAUGCUGUUCCUCAUCAUAGCGUCGGUAGCGGUGCGUCGCCUGAUCGGCGUGACGGAGGUGAAGAAGACGGGGUCCAGCUACGGAGACCAGGAAGCCAAGAAGCAGAACUAGACCACUAGGCCACGCCCCCAGGAAGCAGAAACACACCAGGCCACGCCCCAUUUAGGCCCCGCUCCAUUUACUUCACUCUCAAUCAGAGCCCACCUGACAAUUAAUCAAUUAAUCAAUUAAAGGCUUUCUUUUUUUCUAA